UUCCUACGGGGGGCAGCAGUGAGGAAUAUUGGUCAAUGGGCUAAGGCCUGAACCAGCCAAGUCGCGUGAGGGAAGACGGUCCUAUGGAUUGUAAACCUCUUUUGUCGGGGAACAAAGGCGGAGACGCGUCUCCGGAUGAGUGUACCCGAAGAAAAAGCAUCGGCUAACUCCGUGCCAGCAGCCGCGGUAAUACGGAGGAUGCGAGCGUUAUCCGGAUUUAUUGGGUUUAAAGGGUGCGCAGGCGGGAGAUCAAGUCAGCGGUAAAAUGUCGGGGCUCAACCCCGGCC
rnacentral:rRNA from 1 species